UCUUUCUGGCACUCAGUGAAGAAUCCCAGGCACUCAAACACCUCAUAUUGUAAAGGAGGAGAGACAUUGUUAUCCCUUGUAGAAUCAUCAGGCAACAACAGCUUAAAGAUUCCAGGAAGAGAUUAACUACUGGAGAAGACUGACUGCAGCACAGGUGAUGAAGAAUAGUGUUCGAUGGUGAGAGUAAAACCAGAGCACAUGAGGGAACCUUGCCUGACACUGCAGCUUCCAGCACAGUGUGCAUCACCUUAGAUGCUGCUGCUGCCUAUGGGAGGACUGUGGUGCCCCAAAACCUGACAAAUACACAGGCUCAGACCUUCAACAGUGCUGAGAUGGUUGUUCAAGACAAUCUCAUGCAACAUGAUGUCAAACAGUCAAGAAUACCCAUGACCUGUCAUUUUCCCACUUUACUUGUAMCCUGUUACUCUCUUUUAAGAGGAAGUAAAAUCAAUUUGACACGAUUACUUACUGAUGAAUUCGUAUUCAUCACGUGGAUGAAUUUCACAAAUUCAUAUUGGCUGCUACUUAUUUCCUUCUYAUCUUUUGGGGCUUAAAAAUUCAUUAUGAAUUAUGGAAAAAAUUUUGGACAAAUAGGCACCCAGAAUUCUUUUUCUCUUACUCUCCCUUUCUGAAAGAAUYGGU